rnacentral:rRNA from 1 species
GUAGCCUACGGGGCGCAGCAGUGGGGGAUAUUGCACAAUGGGGGGAACCCUGAUGCAGCGACGCCGCGUGGGUGAAGAAGCGCCUCGGCGCGUAAAGCCCUGUCAGCAGGGAAGAAAAUGACGGUACCUGAAGAAGAAGCCCCGGCUAACUACGUGCCAGCAGCCGCGGUAAUACGUAGGGGGCAAGCGUUAUCCGGAUUUACUGGGUGUAAAGGGAGCGUAGGCGGCUGUGUAAGCCAGAAGUGAAAGCCCGGGGCUCAACUCCGGGACUGCUUUUGGAACUACAUGGCUUGAUUGCAGGAGAG